GACGAACGCUGGCGGCGUGCUUAACACAUGCAAGUCGAACGAAGUGGCGAACGGGUGAGUAACGCGUAAUCAACCUGCCCAUCAGAGGGGGACAAUAGUUGGAAACGACUCCUAAUACCGCAAACGGAAGAAGGGGUUGGUGUGGGAUUAGCUAGUUGGAGGGGUAACGGCCAACAAAGGCGAUGAUCAGUAGCCGGGUUGGGAGGAUGGACGGCCACAUUGGGACGGAGACACGGCCCAGACUCCUACGGGGGGCAGCAGUGGGGAAUCGUCCGAAAUGGACGAAAGUCUGACGGAGCAACGGCGCGUGAGUGAUGACGGCCUUCGGGUUGUAAAGCUCUGUUAAUCGGGACGCGGUACCGGAAUAGAAAGCAACGGCUAACUACGUGCCAGCAGCCGCGGUAAUAC
rnacentral:rRNA from 1 species